AUAUUUUAAAUUCGAGUGUGCGCGUGCGUAUACAUAUGACUCAUUUACUUCCCUUAAAUUCCAUGUACAUUUUCUGAAUGAAUUUUACAAUUCAUUUAAACUUUUUCCACAUGGAGAUGAUAUAUGUGUUGCUAACUUUCUUUGGUGAUGCGAGUCAUGUGGCCUUGUUUAUUUAGAAUUUUUUUUAGCACUGCAUAUACAUUUUGUAUAGAAUAAUUUACACAACUCUAAAUUGCUUAGGUGUCACACUACUAGCACCACCUUGAUGCAAAUGAAUUAUGCAUUUCUGUGCCUCGUCUUUGGUGAGCACUGCAGUUUUGCUCCCUCCCACUGCAUUUUUUAUUCCUCUCCACUUUAACUAUAGCAGAACGGAACUUGGUUUCAAUGUUCAAUGUCAAUACUACCAGCUCACCCCUUUGCCUUCUCAGUUGUAGGAUGCUCAAAUUCCACCAACUUAGUCUCGUUUGGAAACCCUCAUUUUUAGUCAAAAAGU